UGUAGCUAAGUUAUUUCUGAUUUACGUGUCAGUUAUAGGGCUGGCAUUAGUUAAUUUGGAACCACCUAACCACAAACAUGUUAGACCCUAGACCUAACACGUGUGGGCUCAUUGCUGUUUACAACCUGUUGCUACUGUGGCUUAAUGCGUCUGCAAUGCACUUCGACUCUUGGGAGAUGUGGGAUGGGCUGACGCUGGUGAAACGGCUACCCAUCCCAGCCCCCCUCUGCUCUGCAUGGCCACAGAAGUGAAACCAUGGCCAGACAGACACCUUCCUCUUGAGAGUCAACAGACAACAACAAUUCAGCCUCACGGAAGUUUGUUUAGAAAAAUGUACACAUUCAUUUGAGUAGCUUAUUGUGAAGGUAGGCCUAUGUCACUGUAAGUAACAUCAUAACUCACACAUACCCAGAAAACUGA